AUUGAACGCUGGCGGCAGGCCUAACACAUGCAAGUCGAGCGGAUGAAGGGAGCUUGCUCCUGGAUUCAGCGGCGGACGGGUGAGUAAUGCCUAGGAAUCUGCCUGGUAGUGGGGGAUAACGUCCGGAAACGGGCGCUAAUACCGCAUACGUCCUGCGGGAGAAAGUGGGGGAUCUUCGGACCUCACGCUAUCAGAUGAGCCUAGGUCGGAUUAGCUAGUUGGUGGGGUAACGGCCUACCAAGGCGACGAUCCGGAACUGGUCUGAGAGGAUGAUCAGGCACAGUGGAACUGAGACACGGUCAAGACUCCUACGGGAGGCAGCAGUGGGGAAUAUGGGACAAUGGGCGAAAGCCGGAGCCAGCCAUGCCGCGGGUGUGAAGAAGGUCUUGGGAUUGUAGAGCAAUUUAAGUUGGGAGGAAGGGCAGUAAGUUAAUACCUUGCUGUGUUGACGUUACCAACAGAAUAAGCACCGGCUAACUUCGUG
rnacentral:rRNA from 1 species